UACAGAGGUCCCGAGCGUUGUUCGGAUUCAUUGGGCGUAAAGGGUGCGUAGGUGGCUCUGUAAGUGGGGUGUGAAAUCUCAGGGCUCAACCCUGAAACUGCAUUCGAUACUGCGCGGCUAGAGUGCUGGAGGGGAGACUGGAAUUUACGGUGUAGCAGUGAAAUGCGUAGAUAUCGUAAGGAAGACCAGUGGCGAAGGCGAGUCUCUGGACAGCAACUGACGCUGAGGCACGAAGGCCAGGGGAGCAAACGGG
rnacentral:rRNA from 1 species